UAAAAAUUUAAUUUAAAAUAUUAAAGUAGUAUUAGUUAAGAUCUUGAAAUUUAAGAAAUUUGGCGGUAUUUUAGUCUAUUCAGAGGAACCUGUUUUUUAAUCGAUAGUCCACGAUGUAUCUGACUAAGAAUUAUUUAGUUUAUAUAUCGUCGUUUAUUGAAUAUUUUAUUAGAAUAAUAAUUUUCUUAAUUUUUUAUGAGAAAAUAUGUCAGAUCAAGAUGUAGCUUAUAUUUUAGUUUAUAAUGGGUUACUUUUAUUUUAUUAAUUGGAAAUAAAUUUAUAAUAGUUUAUGGAAAUUGGAUUUGAUAGUAAAUUAAUAUAGAUUAAUUAGUUGAUUUUUGCUCUAAAAUAUG
rnacentral:rRNA from 1 species